CUGGGCGUAGCUCAGCUUGGCAGAGCGCGUGCCUUGGAUGCACGAGGCCGAAGGUUCGAAUCCUUCCGCCCAGA
rnacentral:tRNA from 1 species